CUGGUUAAAAGAUCAACCACAAGGAGGCAAACCAAUUCAACGAAACAGCUGGACAUCGCUGCUGAGGACAACGGAGGAGGUCAAACUUAAACCCUAAAGGAGAAAAACUGGAAAGAAUGGAACAGAGACACAGCUUGUGGUGAUCAUCAGUUGAACUGGUCUCUGGGAUGUUGGUGAGAAGGUAGAGAGAUGACGCUUGGUGGGACUAAUUGAUUUAGACCAGUUAGAGGCAGAGGACAGGACUGAUGUGAGGAUUUGAGUUAUGAGAAGCACCGACUGUUAGAAACGGCUUUCCGAUGUGACUUGGUCUAGUUCUAGAUGUUCCUCUGGUUAGUUAGUUUUCAGGCCUAGUUAGAGGGAAAAGAACCCUCUGCAGAAAUAUUCUCCAUAUAAUCUAGGCCUGUCCUGACCGCAGUGGAUCUCUUCCGUGUUUUUUGAAUCCCAUGUUGGACCGAGCCGCUACAAGCUUUGGGCCAUCAGAAGAUGCUGAUGAGAUCUGCAGCGACCAAACCAGAGGAGGAUCGUCUGGGCUGCUGACCUUCACAAAGAACACUGUGGACGUCCAAAAGCAGAACUCCUGUGAGGAACCGGGACAUCCAGGAUGGUGAGGAGCUUCCCAGUCCCCACCUGAGGACGGCACAGAGAAAGACUGGAACAGAAAACACACGGAGGAAAGCAGGUUAAACAGCUAGCAGUGUUCUAGCAGUUGGAUCACAUUGGAACAGAAUCCAUCCACACAUGUUUGGAGGAGCUGAAGAAGAGGAUGGAGCACACAGUCCACUAAGGAGGAGAAACAUGGCUCCUCUAUUUGUCUCUCCAACAUUCUGGAGUCUAAAAAACGUUGACGACCUCGCAGCUAAACCAUCAGUCUGCUACACCCAGUAGAAGAAGAUAAGGUCAUCUGCUCCUUGGACCGGCGCCUCUGUGUCUGUCAAACGUCUGCUGUCCUGUUAAAGACCCGCUCAGCCAAAGUAGAUGGGCGCUGACAUGGAGCUACUGGAGGUUCCUUCCUGCUUGAAGCUGGUUUUCCUCUCCACUGUCAGGAGGAGGCACUGCAGCAACAUUGACGACUGGAUGUGAUUGGCUGAGCUUCCUUGGAUUGAAUUCUGUAAAUGCCAUG